rnacentral:lncRNA from 10 species
UAGGAUUACAGGCAUGAGCCACUGUGCCUGGCCUCUUUAGUAUUUUUGUUUUAAAAUUUUGUUUGUAGAGACAAAGUCUCACUAUGUUGCCCCAGCUGGUUUCAAACUCCUACACUCAAGCAAUCCUCCUGCCUUGGCUCCCCCAAAUUUUGGGAUUACAGGCGUGAGCCACCAUGCGCAGCCUUUUAGUGUUGACACCCUUGUUGAAAAUUAGUUCAGUGUAGACAUACUGAUUUAAUUCUGGGUUCUCUAUUCUUUCCCAUUGGUCUAUCUGUCUGUUUUUAUGCCAGUACUAUGCUGUUUUGGUUACAGUAUAAUUUGAAGCCAGGUAAUGUGAUUUCUCCAGUUUUAUUCUUUAGCUUUGGCUAUUCUGGAUCUUUCAUGGUUCUAUAUAAAUUUUAGGAUUAUUUUUUAUAUUUCUGUGAAGAAUGUAAUUGGUAUUUUGAUAGGGAUUGCACUGAAUCUGUAGAUUGCUUUGGGUAGUAUGGACAUUUAAACAGUAUUAAUUCUUCCAAUCCAUGAACAUGGAGUAUCUUUCCCUUUUUUUGGUAUGUCCUCUUCAACUUCUUACAUCAAUGUUUUGUAGUUUUCAUUAUAGAGAUCUUUCACUUCUUUGGUUAAAUUAAUUUUUAGGUUUUUAUUUUACUUGUAGCUAUUGUAAAUGAGAUUAUUUUCUUGAUUUCUUUUGCAGAUUGUUUGCUGUUGGCAUACAGAAAUGCCACUGAUUUUUGUACAUUGAUUUUGCAUCCUGCAACUUAUCAGUUCUAAAUUUAUCAGUUCUAAGAGAUUUUUGGUGAAGUCUUUUGUUUUUUCCAAAUAUAAGGUCAUAUUAUCUGCAAACAAGGAUAAUUUGACUUCUUCCUUUCCAAUUUGGAUGCUCAUUACGUCUCUCUUUUGUCUAACUGCUCUAGCUAGGACUUCCAGUACUAUGUUGUAUAACAGUGGUGAAAGUGGGCACCCUUGUCUUCUUCUAGAUCUUAAAAGAAAGGCUUUCAGUUUUUCCCCAUUCAGUAUGAUACUGGCUGUGCGUCUGCCAUACAUGGCUUUUAUUGUCUUGAGAUAUGUUCCUUCUAUCCUGUUUUUUGAGUUUUUUUUAUCAUGAAGGGUUGUUGAAUUUUUCAAAUGCUUUUUCAGCAUGAAUUGAAAUUAUCAUGUGGUUUUUCUCCUUCAUUCUAUUGAUAUAAUGUAUCACACUGAUUGAUUUGCAUAUGCUGAACCAUCCUUGCAUCCCUGGGAUAAAUCCCACUUGGUCAUGAUUAAUGAUCUUUUUAAUGUGUUGUUGGAUUCUUUUUGCUAGUAUUUUGUUGAGGAUUUUUACAUCAAUGUUCAUCAGGGAUAUUGACCUGUAGUUUUCUUUCUUUUUUUUUUUUAAUGUGUCUUUGUCUGGUUUUGGUAUCAGGGUAAUACUGACCUCAUAGAAUGAGUUUGGAAAUAAGCCCUGCUUGUGAUUAUAGUAGCAUUUUGGGUCCCCAGGGAAUAGCUUCAAAUCAGAGCCAGUGUAGAAUAUACCUUGAAAGCUCUGGGUAUUUCCCUCUUUCUUGAAAUUUCUUCCUUUUCUCUGGGAUACACUCAGGUAAGUGUUAGGCUCCUCUGAAGAGCUUAAAGGAAAAUAGUUUAUACUUGUGACAGUCACAGGAACUUUUCUCAAGGAGAUCUAGCCUUCCCUACAUUUCAUGGGCCCCAGGGCACUGAACUGGGUAAGAGAUUACUUCUGCAGGACAGUUCUCUGGGUGUCCUUGGACUGAUCCAGUUCUCCCCACUUUCUUGUUUACAAUUCUCUAAAACAACAGUAGAAUGUGCUGGAAUGUAAUAUCUUGACAUAGGAAGGGACUAGCCAGAACUUCCUGGGCUCUGUUCCAAUCCCCCCAAAGCCCGCCCCGAACAGGAUGUCCUUCAGUGCUUUAGCCCAGUGAUCACAUUGCCCUGGGUCAUAAAACCCAAGCCAAGCUACUUCCAGGGUCCCACUGCUGCAGUGCAAGUGAGGCAUACACAGUCAAGGCAUUAUCCACCUUGGGCAGCAUUCCUGAGGCUUGGGGGACCAGGCUUCUGUUGUCCUUUGCUCCUAUCUGUAAGUAAUAAAUCUGCUUCAUGUAACUUGUGAAUAUGAGUGUUCUGUCCCACCGGACUCAGACAAGUUGGUAGCCAGUGCAUGGUGAGCCUGUUUCACCACUUUAUUAGUCUGUUUUCAUACUGCUGAUAAAGACAUAGCCAAGACUGGGCAAUUUACAAAGGAAAGAGAUUUAAUUGGACUAACAGUUCCACGUGGCUGGAGAAACCUCAUAAUCAUGGUGGAAGGCAAGGAGGAGCAAGUCAUGUCUUACAUGGAUGGCAGCAGGCAAAGAGAGAGCUUGUGCAGGGAGACUCCAGCUUUUCAAAGCCAUCAAAUCUUGUAAGACUUACUAUCACAAGAACAGCAUGGGAAGGAACUGCCUCCAUGAUUCAAUUAGCUCCCACUGGGUCCCUCCCACAACACGUGGGAAUUCAAAAUGAGAUUAUGGUGGGGACACAGCCAAACCAUGUCUCCACUUAAAGUUAGGUCUCUGCUCACUGGACCCAAAGUUUUUCUGACUAUACAGAGCAAGUAAGACUUAAACUGCUCAAAUGUUUGAUUUCUAGGGACAAUAUGAUGAAUUCACCUCCAGUAAAAGUCCCUGUGGGUCAAAAUAUUCCAGUGGUUGCUAUGGCUCUGCUGCUAUGAUGGAGUUUGCACCCAACUCAUCUCUGGCAGUAAGUGCUGCCACUUAGACUCUGCCACUCCUCAUCAAAACCAGGAAGCCCAUUUCAGUGGUGGCACUUCCCACUGUCACACCUAGGCUAUAGAGGAAAGUACUCCAGGGCUUUUGAAUGGUACUAGUGCUUUCUCUGCCAGUGCUUGCUCAGUGACUUAGUGAAAGGAGUGUCCUCUGGGCCCCCCUGGUGGACUUAAAUGAUAGGGUUAUUUAAGGUGAUAGGGUCAGGGUCAAGUCAUACAUAACAACUGGCUGUGGUGGGGCACCUGUAAUCCUAGCUACUUGGGAGGCUGAGAUGCGAGGACCAAUCGAGCCCAGGAGUUUCAGAUCAGCCUGCGCAACAUAGUGAGACCCUGUCUCAAAACAAAUUAAAAUUAAAAUUAAAAAAGAAAGAUGUCACCCCAUGAUAUUUUAAAAAACCGUACAUAGUAAAUCCAUCCCAACAUUUCUAUUUCCUUAAAACUUCGAAUUCCUCCCUUAAUAGUAUCUUAGGGAAAUUCUAGCAUCUCAACUUCAAUGAAUGUAGACCACCACUAAGUCCAGGUUUCAGUCAGUCAAUCCAGGAAACCAUUAGAGUCACUCGCAAAUGCUGAGAUAACAUAUUAAAUCUAGACUCUCCAGAAAAUGCAUGAAUAUCCAUAAAUUUAACCCAGCCUAAUAUGGUUUGUUCUUCUUGGUCUGGCAUCUUUAUGUUCCAUUGCCACACAUACUCCCCCAGGUCUCUGUCAACAUACAUCAACAAAACAUUUUUAUUCUUUGGUAUCAUAGACUCUCUUUGGGUCAGACUUUGAACUUGCUCUCCUGGGGUGUGUAAGGGUCUGGAAGCAGUGAAGGGUGCUGGAGUUGGCCUUGAGGUGAGGCACCCCCUUGCAGGAAACUGUCUUGGAUGAGGUCAUUACGAGUCUUCCAGCAAGAGAAUGAUCUUCUCAGAAGAGGAGGAGGGCUGCUUCCACUGUUAAAGAGGACCUGGGUUGAUUUGGAGGUUCAAGGUUGGCAGAUUCAUCUGAUUUUACCCACAGGGGUCCAAACUGUAUGUGAAUAAUGGAAUGGAGCCCAUGAGCCUGCCAUUGCUACUGAAUGACUGGGGGCACUGCUGUCGCUACUGAAGCUCAUGUUACUUCACUGCUGCUGCUGAAAAAAAAAAAAACAGAAACCCCCACUCCUGCUGAUUGCUAAAAUGCUUUUCAUGUUGUUAGAGCCCAGGAUCAUCUAUAGUCACCUUCAGUCACCCACUGCCACUGUCAGAGCCCAUUUCUAGAAUCAGAGAAAAAAUUAAAAAUGUCCUCGUUUCCUCCACCUCCCAAUCUCCACCAGUGUCUUCCACUAGCAGAGCCCAGAGGAAAGCAGGAUGAGAAAUGCACAAUGCAGGCUUCCCAUCCUGGGGAUACAGAGGAGCACGUGGAGGGGAAGGGUGGAGGUCAGAGUCAACGGGCAUCGCCCAGGACACUAACCCUGCUGAACUUCAGGUCCCUCGCCUCAAAUACAAAGUUAAAAAUUCACCCCCUACUUACCUCUGCAGAUUAUGUUGAGGAACUAAGAUAAUGAUUGUGAGAUUACUUUAUAAAUUAAUCAAGUGCUGUACAUUUGCAAUAGAAUGUUAUUAUUCCAGUUAUUAUUACAGUUGCAUGGGUUAUUUAUAUUGUUGUUGUAAUAGGUACUGGGACUGCCACCCUUGCUCCCCCAGUGGCUGGGAGGAUUGGCUGUUAAUGGCUCACAGCUGAGUCCCUCUUGGGGCACUGCCUCAGCUGAAGGGAGCUGUCUCAUUCAAGGUUACUCCAGUUCCCUAAGGGUAGCUUACAUCCAGCGACUGGUAGGUACAGAGAUAGAAAGGUCUGACCCUCCUUACUUCAAUUUAGGACAUCUCUGAAGGGCCAUCCGAGACCCACAACUCUCCACAGGAUCAGCUAAGGUUCUGGAACAACUGCAUCAUAGUUCAACUUCUCUCUCUGCCCUUCCCUGCUUGUCUCACUCCCUUGCAGGUGAUGUUUCCAAGAGCACUUCCCAAUAAACCUUCUAAAUGUAAAUCUCAUCUCAGAGUCUGUUUCUGAGGAAACCAUGCUAAAGCAAUUAUCGUGGUGCUUUCAAGUACCAUCACAAACAUCUGACCCUUAAGACCACCCUAAGAUGCAGAAAGGGCACAGAGUGUUACACAUACUCCUUGUUCAGAUGAAGAAGUUGAGGCUCAGUGAGAUUAAGUAGCUCACCCAAGGUUGCACACAAAGUCAAGGUGGAGUCAGAUCUGAGCACAGCUCUCUUGACUCUCUGACAGGUGUUUUGACCAUUUCACUUCCAGGGAGAAAGCACAGAUGCCUGUUUGGGGGGUCCCAAGGAUUAGAGCUGGGAGGAUGCUUCCAGUCAGCCUCUUCUGUCUGCUGGAGCAGAAGCAGAUUAGUGUUGCCCUGGGCUCGGGAUCCCUAGCAGGAGGACAAGGAGGAGAAUCCAUUUACAAACACUCCGGAAGCACCUACCCUGGGCCAGAGUCAUUAAAUAGGACCCAGUCCCCACCCCCAGGGAGCCUCCAGCUUUGGGGCUGAAGAAGAGAGCAAUAUUGCUUGAAGGUAAGGGGAACUCUGGAAGCAGGAUGGAAAGCAAUUUUGGCCAGAACAAUAAGUGAAAGACUGAUCAGCAGGAAGAGUCUGCUGAGAUUUGGGGAUGACUGCCCACAGCAAAGACAGAGAAACUCCCAUCUCGGUUUGGAGACAGGGAGGGUCUUCAGUUGUUAGAAGAGCUGGCAACUCUUCCUAGAAUCUGUGGAAAGACUGUUGCCCAAAUGAGCUGUCUCCAAUAAAUGGCCAACACACAGUAGCUUUUCUAAGGAUAUCUGCAUGAAGAGAAUGAGGAACCCCAGCUUGGAGAAGUGGGAAUAAAGGAGAUGGAAUACAGGGGCUGGGAAGUGCAGAAUCAUUAGGGUGAACGCUGAGCUGUUUUAACAAGAGGGAAGAAACACCUGGAGCUUAAGAGCGUAAAAGUUCAGGUAUGGUGGCUCACACCUGUAAUCCUAGCACUUUGGGAGGCCGAGAUAGGCAGAUCAUGAGGUCAGGAGUUGAGACCAGCCAACAUGGUGAAACCCUGUCUCUACUAAAAAUACAACAAUUAGCCGGGCAUGGUGGGAGUCACCUGUAAUCCCAGCUACUCGGGAGGCUGAGGCAGAAGAACUGCUUGAACCUGGGAGGCGGAGGUUGCAGUGAGCUGAGAUGGCGCCACUGUACUCCAGCUUGGGCAACAGAGCAAGACUCCAUCUCAAAAAAAAAAAAGAGAGUAAAAGUUCAGUUAUCUUGGGGAGGCUGAGGCAGGAGGAUCGCUUAAGCCCAGGAGUUCAAAUCCAGCCUGGAAAACAAAGUGAAACCCCAUCACUAAAAUCUUUAAAAGGGGUAGGGGAAGUUCAGUUAUCUCCCAUUAACAAGUUCAGUGGUGCAGACUGGCCGGUGUCUGUUUGCUGACUGUUACUCCACCUUCCAGUGCAUUGUCUUCAUCUGCAUGGUCAAAACUCGAUCAUGAGAAGCCGGGUUUUAUGUGAUAGGACAGGAAAGAGACGAUGGAGGAACAUAUGCCCAAUAGUUUAAGGCCUAGACUUGAAAGAGCAACAUAUCACUUCCGCUCACAUUCCAAUGGUAAGAAUGGAGGGCCUCACCCAGCUGCAAAGGAGGCUGGGAAAUGUAGUAUCUGGCUGGGUAGUCUAUUGCUAAGGAAGAAGAGAACAGAUUUUCCUGGACAGCUAGCAGCCUCUGGCAUAAGGAAUAACUGUGAAUGAGAAGAAGAUCAGGUAGACUGCUGGAGAAAAUGGCAGACUCUGGCUUUAAAUGUGCUGUAUGGUUUGGCCAAGGUUUGGGUGCCUCAGUGGUCUUGAUGAGAAGAGCAUGCCCCCAUACAGUUGCUGCCCUUUAAGCCUGGACACCAGAAUGAAACAAGUGGAACAGCAGAGCCCAGCUGUGGCCUGGAGCCAAGUGUAGCCAAUGGGCAGCCUGAUGCGGAACUCACCAGCUGAGGCCAGCCCAUACCAGCAGAGCUGCAGUUGAUCUGUGAGCAUUUGUAAGCCUGUGAGUUUGGAGGUGGCUUGUUGUAAAGCAUUAUUGUAACCACCCAAUGGGUUCACCUUACCCACUACCUAGACACACCCAAUGUAUCAAGACAGAAGAAUUGCAAUGAAGAGAGGGUAAUUCACCUAGAGCCAGCUGUGCAGGAGACCGGAGUUUUAUUAUUACUCAAAUCGGUCUCUCCAAGUAUUCAGGGAUCAGAGUUUUUAAAAAUAAUUUGGGUUGCUGGGUGCAGUGGCUCACAUCUAUAAUCCUAGCGCUUUGGGAGGCCGAGGC